CCUACGGGCGGCAGCAGUGGGGAAUAUUGCACAAUGGGCGAAACCCUGAUGCAGCAACGCCGCGUGAAGGAAGACGGUUUUCGGAUUGUAAACUUCUAUCAAUAGGGAACAAAGAAAUGACGGUACCUAAAGAAGAAGCUCCGGCUAACUACGUGCCAGCAGCCGCGGUAAUACGUAGGGGGCAGGCGUUAUCCGGAUUUACGGGGUGUAAAGGGAGAGUAGGAGGAAAGGUAAGCGAUAUGUGAAAGCCUUAAGCUUAAGGUAAGGAUGGCAAAAGGAACUAUCUAGCUAGAGUACAGGAGAGGAGAGCGGAAUUCGUAGUGUAGCGGUGAAAUGCGUAGAUAUUAGGAAGAACACCAGUGGCGAAGGCGGCUUUCUGGACUGAAACUGACGCUGAGGCUCGAAAGCGUGGGGAGCAAACAGGAUUAGAUACCCUGGUAGUC
rnacentral:rRNA from 1 species